rnacentral:rRNA from 1 species
UACGUAGGUGACAAGCGUUGUCCGGAUUUACUGGGCGUAAAGAGCGCGCAGGCGGUCGUUCAAGUCGAGUGUGAAAGCCCCCGGCUCAACUGGGGAGGGUCAUUCGAUACUGAUCGGCUCGAAGGCAGGAGAGGGAAGUGGAAUUCCCGGUGUAGCGGUGAAAUGCGCAGAUAUCAGGAGGAACACCUAUUGCGAAGGCAGCUCGCUGGGACGUAACUGACGCUGAGACGCGAAAGCGUGGGGAGCAAACAGG